rnacentral:rRNA from 1 species
AGUGAACGCUGGCGGCAGGCCUAAUACAUGCAAGUCGAACGGCAGCACAGUAAGAUCUUGCUUUUACGGUUGGCGGGUGGCGGACGGGUGAGGAGUAGAUAGGAUACUACUUUUUCGUGGGGGACAACGUAGGGCAACUGACGCUAAUACCGCAUACUAUCUACGGGUUAAAGCAGGGGUUCUACGGGCUCUGCGUGUCUGUAUUAGCUGGUGCCGCAUUAGCUAGUUGGUAAGGUAAGGGAACACCAAGGCAACGAUCCAUAGCCGACCUGAGAGGGUGAUCGGCCACACUGGAACGGAGACACGGUCCAGACUCCUACGGGAGGCAGCAGUAGGGAAUCUUCCGCAAUGGGCGAAAGCCUGACGGAGCAACGCAGCGUGAGUGAUGAAGGUCUUCGGAUCGUAAAACUCUGUUAUUAGGGAAGAACAUAUGUGUAAGUAACUGUGCACAUCUUGACGGUACCUAAUCAGAAGGCCACGGCUAACUACGUG